UACGUAGGUGGCGAGCGUUGUCCGGAUUUACUGGGCGUAAAGAGCGCGCAGGCGGUCGUGCAAGUCGCGUGUGAAAGCCCCCGGCUCAACUGGGGAGGGUCACGCGAUACUGCUCGACUUGAAGGCAGGAGAGGGAAGUGGAAUUCCCGGUGUAGCAGUGAAAUGCGUAGAGAUCAUGAGGAAGACCAGUGGCGAAGGCGGGUCUCUGGACAGUUCCUGACACUGAGGCACGAAGGCCAGGGGAGCAAACGGG
rnacentral:rRNA from 1 species